rnacentral:rRNA from 1 species
UACGUAGGAUGCAAGCGUUGUCCGGAUUUAUUGGGCGUAAAGCGCGCGCAGGCGGUUCGUUAAGUCCGAUGUGAAAGCUCCCGGCUCAACUGGGAGAGGUCUUCGGAUACUGGCGAACUCGAGGGAGGCAGAGGAAGGUGGAAUUCCGGGUGUAGUGGUGAAAUGCGUAGAGAUCCGGAGGAACACCAGUGGCGAAGGCGGCCUUCUGGGCCUUUCCUGACGCUGAGGCGCGAAAGCGUGGGGAGCGAACCGG